AACGAACGCUGGCGGCAGGCUUAACACAUGCAAGUCGAACGCCCCGCAAGGGGAGUGGCAGACGGGUGAGUAACGCGUGGGAACAUACCCUUUUCUACGGAAUAGCUCUGGGAAACUGGAAUUAAUACCGCAUACGCCCUACGGGGGAAAGAUUUAUCGGGGAAGGAUUGGCCCGCGUUGGAUUAGCUAGUUGGUGGGGUAAAGGCCUACCAAGGCGACGAUCCAUAGCUGGUCUGAGAGGAUGAUCAGCCACAUUGGGACUGAGACACGGCCCAAACUCCUACGGGAGGCAGCAGUGGGGAAUAUUGGACAAUGGGCGCAAGCCUGAUCCAGCCAUGCCGCGUGAGUGAUGAAGGCCUUAGGGUUGUAAAGCUCUUUCACCGGAGAAGAUAAUGACGGUAUCCGGAGAAGAAGCCCCGGCUAACUUCGUGCCAGCAGCCGCCGGAGUAA
rnacentral:rRNA from 1 species